rnacentral:lncRNA from 10 species
GGUUGCCGCUGCCACACAGCAAUUACCAUGCAGAAAAAGGAGUUGAGAAGGGAGUAGCCUCUGAUAUGUAGUCAGCAUGAAUCAGCCUUAGGUUCCCUGCCUCCAUACCCAAUUCUUCUGCCUCAUUAUGAUUCCACUAUGAGGCAUCCAGAGUAGUCAAACUUAUAAAGACAGAAAGUAGAGCUGUGGCUGCCAGGUGGGUGGAAGGAGAGAGAAGUAGUUAUUGCUUAAUGAGUAGGAAAUUUCAGUUUGGGAAGACGAAAAAUGUUCUGAAGAUGGAUGGUGGUGAUGGUCGUGCAACAAUGUGAAUGUACUUGAUGCCACAUAAAAAGUGGCUAACAUGACCACAUGGAAGGAGAGAAAACACCUGAACAGCUCCAACUGUGGCAGCCAUACCAGCCCAGAUGCCAGACAGUGAAUGAAGACGGGCAUCCCAUUCCCAGUAGAAAUGACGUGAAGAACCGAAAAAAACUCACCGACAGCCCUAGAUAUACACCUCCAGGUGACCAACCCAGACACCACCAACAGUUAGCGCUACUCCAGCUGAAUACUCCCCAACAAAAAUCUAUCCUUGCUAUGUGUUGCCUGAAUUCAUGACCAACAACGGUAUGAACAUAAUAAAAUGAUUGUUAUUUU